GGCCGGUUAGCUCAGUCGGUUGAGCGUGGUGCUGACAGCACUAGGGUCGCAGGCUCGAUUCCCGUUCGGUCC
rnacentral:tRNA from 1 species